AUGAACCUUGACACAAGACAUUGGAAUAAUGUUCUAGAGAGUGAAUUGUGGGAGCUAAGUCAAGAGGAAACUGACAUUUUGCCAGCCCUUCGGUUGAGCUACCUCUAUUUGCCACUCUACUUGAAGAGAUGUUACUCAUUUUGUGCUGUGUACCCCAAAGAUCAUGAAUUUGAGAAGGAUACUUUAGCUGGUAUUUGGGUAGCAGAAGGCUUCGUGGAACCUCAGGGGGACAUUCCAAUCCAAGAUAUUGCUUGCCAGUACUUUGAAGACCUUGUAAGUAGAUCCUUCUUUCAGAAAGUACGCGGCACAUAUGUAAUCCAUGACUUGCUUCAUGAUAUGGUCCAACUGGUUGCAAAGCAUGACUGCUUCAUCUUGGGAAAAAAGAGCGACUUCCACAAGAUUCCACAGAUUGUUCGUCACCUGUCAAUACUCUCUAAAAAUGAAAUUGAUUGCUCCAAACUUCGGAGCCUACGCAAGCACACAAAGCUGCGUACCUUACUGUGCACCACGUCCUCAGGGAAUAACAUUGCAGCUUCUGUAAUGGCUCACUGGUGCAAUGAACUUGCGCGUUUGCGCGUGAUUUUUUAUGCCUGUACAGAUGGGAUACCGGAUAGUAUUGGCAACUUGAAACAUCUCCGGUACCUUCAAAUUUCCAGAGCAGCUUGUCCUCCGAAGAGAUUUCUUCCCCCAACAUUCUCUAGCCUCUAUAAUUUGCAGAUUUUACGUGUCAGGGAAAUCGAGCUAGAAAGCCUUUCUGCUGACUUCAGUAACUUGAUCACUUUCCGAGGAUUUGAAUUGUGUGGAUUUCAAUAUUACUCAAAAUACCAGUUAAAUUAUGGUGAUGGAACAGAGGCGGAACUAAAGAACAAGAGUUAUCUUCACGGUCUGGAAGUACGUUGGUCUUCGUCGAGGCUUGGACAACGAAACUAUGAGAAAGCAGAAGUGCUUAAUGUCGUACAACUUCCCACCAGUUCCCGAUCUCUGCUACUCUUGGAUUAUCCAGGUGUCUCUACCAAACUGGUGGCAGCUACAACAAUUGCCAAUAUUAACAUCAUUUGA
rnacentral:rRNA from 1 species